rnacentral:rRNA from 1 species
UACGAAGGGGGCUAGCGUUGCUCGGAAUCACUGGGCGUAAAGGGUGCGUAGGCGGGUCUUUAAGUCAGGGGUGAAAUCCUGGAGCUCAACUCCAGAACUGCCCUUGAUACUGAAGGUCUUGAGUUCGGGAGAGGUGAGUGGAACUGCGAGUGUAGAGGUGAAAUGCGUAGAUAUCCGGAGGAAUACCAAAGGCGAAGGCAGUGUCCUGGCUGGCAUCUGACGCUGAGGCGCGAAAGCUAGGGGAGCGAACAGG